AUCAGCUGACGAGUCCCAAAGAGGACGAAACGCGCAUCCUGGAC
rnacentral:hammerhead_ribozyme from 1 species